ACUCAAGCUGUGCUCAGCCUUCAUCAGAGACAGAUACAGAUGGAGGCAGUAGCGUGGUAACAUCUCAAAAUCAAGCAUCCAGCGGCUGAAUCCAAAAAACACAAGGAACAAGUUGCAACAAAGAAGAUAAGCUGUGGAAGCUAGGAUUUCAGAAAAUUUAGAUUUAAGGACAAGUGCCAAUCAAGGAUAAAGCUGAAACUGCAGAGAGCCCGGCAUUC